rnacentral:rRNA from 2 species
AGUGGAAGCGUCUGGAAAGGUGCGCGAUACAGGGUGACAGCCCCGUACACAAAAGCGCAUGUGCUGUGAGCUCGAUGAGUAGGGCGGGACACGUGAUAUCCUGUCUGAAUAUGGGGGGACCAUCCUCCAAGGCUAAAUACUCCUGACUGACCGAUAGUGAACCAGUACCGUGAGGGAAAGGCGAAAAGAACCCCGGCGAGGGGAGUGAAAAAGAACCUGAAACCGUGUACGUACAAGCAGUGGGAGCACAGGUUUACCUGUGUGACUGCGUACCUUUUGUAUAAUGGGUCAGCGACUUAUAUUCUGUAGCAAGGUUAACCGUAUAGGGGAGCCGUAGGGAAACCGAGUCUUAACC